UGAGGACACCUGGAGCUUUAAUUGCCCUGAGCCAGCUAACCUGCCCUUUCUCACAAGCCCAUGGUCUUGGGACUUCUAUAUAAGCUCAAGACAAUAGGUCUAACUCUUUUCUGAUGCAUCCUGUGUUCUUUAGAAGUCCUGUUGCAAGAAUCUGAAGCAUCUUUUGGUCCAGCUGUUGAAGCUCUAACUGCUCUGAGAAGAUCAAUUUUCAAAACAGCUUGUGGAAAUACGCAGCUGAAUGCUCACUGCUUGGAAAAUCCCAAAGAAGUUUAAAUCCACAAGCAGCAUCGUGUACACAGGGUUUUCAAAAGUGACCCUCGACGCAAGGCUGUGCCAGCAGCUCCAUCUCAGAUGACACAGCAGCUUGGCUGUGUGUGGCCUCCUACACAAACAGGACAAACAUUGGGAAGAAUCAAGCUCUGGAGAUCAUCUGUGGAAAGGAGAGUUUCUAUUCUUUCAUGGUGGAAAGACAAUUUUAGACUCUCAGUGGGGGGAUAUUACUGCCCCAUAGUUUCAAAGUUGUUUAAAGGACUUAUCUGGUUCUGCUCACACACACUCUUUAGAAAUGUUAAUCUCACCAUUGUUCUUAAUUGUUUCAGGAAAGUGGGAGGUAUUGUCCCCAAAGGAUUUCAAGUUACUAAGAAGCAUUCGCUAAGAAAUGUGAUGAUGUACUUAUUUUUUUUCUGCUGCUGAGAGUGUUAUCAAAAGUGAGGUAAAGAGGGAGGGCUUUACUGUAAAAGUUCUUUAAAUAACGUUGCUAUGCUUCUUGGCUAUCCUCAUUAAAGUAAUUUGAAUAGCAAGCCCACUCAAGUGGUCUGACAGCUCACAUCAUUGUGUAUGUAGCUACAACACAAAUGUGCAGGGGUGGCAGGGGAAGGACUUUGUUUCUUGGAUCUGGCUGUGCCUGAGCUGGGAGCUCUCCAGACAAACACCUUCUUUUCUUUAGGGACAGGAAUUACCUGGGUCAUCCUUGCACAAAUUUCAGUUUCUCUGAGUUUGAAGGCCACUUCAGGAGUCCUUCCUGCUGCUCUGGGAGCUGCCCAGCAAAGCCACCGUGAAAACUUCUGUGAACCAAGUUGCUUUUUUGGUGGUUUGAGUUACAAAACUUUGUUCCCUGUUUGCAUAGCUCAGAUGUGGUUGAGCCAAAUGCGAAGGAACUUUCAGAUGGCAGCAGAAGCUGCUGCUAUUUUUGUCCUUUUGAUUUGUUUAUGCUCAGCUUCUAAAGCAAACCUCCUCUCCAAGAACAAAGACCUCAGCAAACCCCAGUGACUCAAGUCUCUCCAGCAUGUCGCCAAAGGAGUCAGAAGCAGAAUUUAGCUCAGGAGAUUUUAUCUGCCCAGACUCCACAUGUACAAUGACAAACCGUCCUGUUGUGUUUCAGGGAGGAGGCACAGAUUGUUGUGUGUGUCUAUCACAUGUGCAAUGUUGGUUCCACCAUGGAAACUGA